rnacentral:rRNA from 1 species
GCACCUUCCGAUACGGCUACCUUGUUACGACUUUACCCCAGUCAUGAACCCUGCCGUGGCAGUCGCCCUCCUUGCGGUUAGGCUAACGGCUUCUGGCAAAACCCACUCCCAUGGUAUGACGGGCGGUGUGUACAAGACCCGGGAACGUAUUCACCGCGACAUUCUGAUCCGCGAUUACUAGCGAUUCCAGCUUCACGUAGUCGAGUUGCAGACUACGAUCCGGACUACGAUGCAUUUUCUGAGAUUAGCUCCCCCUCGCGGGUUGGCAACCCUCUGUAUGCACCAUUGUAUGACGUGUGAAGCCCUACCCAUAAGGGCCAUGAGGACUUGACGUCAUCCCCACCUUCCUCCGGUUUGUCACCGGCAGUCUCUUUAGAGUGCUCUUGCGUAGCAACUAAAGACAAGGGUUGCGCUCGUUGCGGGACUUAACCCAACAUCUCACGACACGAGCUGACGACAGCCAUGCAGCACCUGUGUUCACUUUCCCUUACGGGCACCUAAUGUAUCUCUACUUCGUUAGUGACAUGUCAAGGGUAGGUAAGGGUUUUCGCGUUGCAUCGAAUUAAUCCACAUCAUCCACCGCUUGUGCGGGUCCCCGUCAAUUCCUUUGAGUUUUAAUCUUGCGACCGUACUCCCCAGGCGGCUGACUUCACGCGUUAGCUA